rnacentral:rRNA from 1 species
UACGUAGGGUGCGAGCGUUUGUCCGGAAUUAUUGGGCGUAAAGAGCUUGUAGGCGGUCUGUCGCGUCUGCUGUGAAAAUCCGGGGCUCAACCCCGGACUUGCAGUGGGUACGGGCAGACUAGAGUGUGGUAGGGGAGACUGGAAUUCCUGGUGUAGCGGUGAAAUGCGCAGAUAUCAGGAGGAACACCGAUGGCGAAGGCAGGUCUCUGGGCCACUACUGACGCUGGAGACGCGAAAGCGUGGGGAGCGAACAGG